AACGCACCUUGCGCUCUAUGGCAAUCCGCAGAGCAUGCCUGUUUGAGUGCCAUGAAAUCUCCCACCCCAAGCGGUUUUUAAAUGAAACGGCUUGGCGGAUGGGGUCUGGAUGGGUGCCUCUGCCUGCGCUACCUAGCACAGGCUUGCCCGAAAUGCAUGAGCGCCUUGAGAUACUUUGCAUCCGCCUCUCUGCUUGGGCGGCGGCGGCCAAGCAGUGUUUUUUCUACUGGCAUGGCGUGAUACGUCAUUUGCUAUGUCGCUUAAGGGAGGAAUGUUUGAUUGUGUCUGCGUGUGCUUCGAACUUGCCGCUGUGGCACAUCCCAAUUUCACUUCUUGUCUCAAAUCAGGUAGGAUCACCCGCUGAACUUA
rnacentral:misc_RNA from 1 species